GACGAACCGUGCGAACGUUAUUCGGAAUCACUGGGCUUAAAGCGCGUGUAGGCGGGCCGCCACGUCAGUCGCUGAAAUCCCCCGGCUCAACCGGGGAAGUGGCACUGAUACGAGCGACCUGGAGGGAGGUAGGGGGGGCUGGAACUUCCGGUGGAGCGGUGAAAUGCGUUGAGAUCGGAAGGAACGCCCGUGGCGAAAGCGAGCCCCUGGACCUUUCUGACGCUGAGACGCGAAAGCUAGGGGAGCGAACGGG
rnacentral:rRNA from 1 species